CCUGGUGGGUGACGACCGUUGGUCGUCACGCUUCUGAGUCAAUGCAAGAGCGUGACGACCAACGGUCGUCACCCACCAGA
rnacentral:antisense_RNA from 1 species